rnacentral:rRNA from 1 species
AUUGAACGCUGGCGGCAGGCCUAACACAUGCAAGUCGAACGAGUGGCGGACGGGUGAGUAAUGUCUGGGAACCUGCCCGAUGGAGGGGGAUAACUACUGGAAACGGUAGCUAAUACCGCAUACCAUCAGAUGUGCCCAUAUGGGAUUAGCUAGUUGGUGGGGUAACGGCUCACCAAGGCGACGAUCCCUAGCUGGUCUGAGAGGAUGACCAGCCACACUGGAACUGAGACACGGUCCAGACUCCUACGGGAGGCAGCAGUGGGGAAGUUUGCACAAUGGGGGAAAGCCUGAUGCAGCCAUGCAGCGUGUAUGAAGAAGGCCUUCGGGUUGUAAAGUACUUUCGGCGGGGAGGCGUUACCCGCAGAAGAAGCACCGGCUAACUCCGUGCCAGCAGCCGCGGUAAUUC